UACGUAGGCAGCGAGCGUUGUUCGGAAUUACUGGGCGUAAAGAGUGUGUAGGCGGUGCUCUAAGUUCGGUGUGAAAUCUCCCGGCUCAACUGGGAGGGUGCGCCGAAUACUGAAUGACUAGAGUGCGGGAGAGGAAAGUGGAAUUCCUGGUGUAGCGGUGAAAUGCGUAGAUAUCAGGAGGAACACCGGUGGUGUAGACGGCUUUCUGGACCGUAACUGACGCUGAGACACGAAAGCGUGGGUAGCAAACAGG
rnacentral:rRNA from 1 species